UUCAAGGUAAGUGUAACUAUAGAGUAUCAGUAGACACAAACAAUGAAAGGUACAUUCAAGGUAAGUCUAACUACAGAGUAUCAGUAGACACAGACAAUGAAAGGUACAUACAAUGUAAGUCUAACUACAGAGUAGCAGUAGACACAGACAAUGAAAGGUACAUACAAGGUAUACUACAAACAAAAAUGCAAGGAAUGCAAGACAGCAUGUAACCCGUACAGAGUAGAAGACGUGAAGUGUCCUAAGUGUGGUAAGCCUGCUAGAGAAUGUCAGGGUAUGUGUUACGUCGAUUUCAACGACUCCGACUCCGACGACGAGAAACAAGAAAAGCCACACCGAGCAGACCUUUGUCUAAAAUGUCGAUCUGGCUGGCCGUGUAUAUAAAGUCUUGCCUUGCCCACUUUCAUCCCGAUUUGAAGAUGGCGCCAUUCACUCAGAAUUUCAAUAUACCUUGGUAUUGGACUGUCUGUCUUUAAUGCGUGUGAAUGGUGUCCAUUUCAUGAUUCUUGACCUUAACGAUAGCAAUCAACGUAUUAUAUCAACACUAAUUAUUGUUCAAAUGAUAAAGGGUUUUAAAUUAUGCUUGUGAGUUGUCCCGAAUAAUUCAAGUCUUAUUUUUACGACUGUAUUCCGUUUGCUUAAUUCGGAUGCUUGUAGUCGCGAAAUGAACAGAUAUAAAAACAGCAAACCCUCCAGAUCCACAACACUAAUAAUGGCUCAAUCAGAGAAAACUAUUACAAGCGUCCUACAGAGCAAGGAACACCAGGAUGAUGACAUUUACAUUCGACUUGUAUGAGUAUUACAGAGCAAACUAAUACAAGCGUCCUAUAGACCAAGAUGUCAAGGAGAAUGACGUUUCAAUUGGACUGGUAUGAGUAUUACAGAGCGAACUAAUACAAGCUUCCUAUAGACCACGAUGUUCUAGGAGGAUUACAACAUUUACAUUGGAUUACAGAGCGAACUAAUAAAAGCGUCCUAUAGACCAAGAUGUCCCGGGAGGAUGACAUUUACAUUGGACUUGUAUGAGUAUUACAGAACGAACUAAUAAAAGCGUCCUAUAGACCAAGAUGUUCCAGGGGAAUGACAUUAACAUUCGACUUGUAUAAAUAUUAAAUCCUUAUAAUUUAUUAUAUUUUAAAAUUGUUUCGUAUUGAUAUACAUGUACUCACAUAGAUAGAAAAAAAACAGGCUCCUAACGGGAUUAUACAUACUUAUAUAUAUGUUCUCGGCCAAGUGUGAGAAGAGUCUGUGACUCAACAUGUUAUUAUCGAGUAUAGAUAAAGUCUUUUAUUAUUAUUAUUAUUUAUUAUUAUUAUUAUUACCAAAUUUUUCCAAAUAAUAUACUCCAGUGGAAUAAUUCACUUUUAAAUUUAUGUUUUUAAAUAGGUACACUCUAUAGCAACUAAAGGCAACAUCUUUGGUUUAUCGAUAUUAACACAAAACACAGGUUUUAUUUCAACAAAUCACACUAAGAUAGAAAAAAAUAUUUUUUUUCUCUUCUUUCUUUUUAAAAAUGUGUUUGUGAGAAAAUAAUUAACUGAGUUUUGUUUAGCCAUUUGGCCUAUUUUAUAAAUUGAAAAAGACUACAGCUGAAGUCAAAUAAUCACAUUGUCAUUUACACAAUUUAAUUACGAACACCAAACAUGUAAGACGCAUGAAAUAUCGUUUGUACAACACCGAUGGGCAGUGAAAACAAAUCCCAUAAACAGUAAACAAGAAUUCCAGUUUGAUUAAGACUUGUAGUUAUGUACCGAUCUUGAAGUGGUAACCAGGGAUACACGUUAUGCAAAAGCAAUUGACUGUGAUUUGUAAUAUUGGCUGUGCUGUUUUUUUAUUUGCUAUACCUUUGUAAUUUACACUUUUGUGAUAAAACCUUAAUUUUUCUAAGC
rnacentral:lncRNA from 1 species